GAAAGUGUUCAUAUUUACUUUUUAAUUAAAUCAAAUAAUUUUUUCAAGUAAAAACAUAAUUUUUUUUUUAAAAUGACACCGAAUCCCAUUUAUCUUGAGACAGUGCCGGUUUGGGAUUUUUUCGCAGAACUCUGUAACGAAAGGAUUCAACUUUCAAGUAGCCAGUGUAUGCAUAUGUAUACACAAACAUGCAAUGCAAGUAACGUAACUGCGGACGAUGUAGUUGCCACGGAACACCGUAUAAUUAUGCCAAGGGACGGCGGCCGUUUGCGACGGCUGGAUAUUUUAAGGAUCACAAAAAAAACAAUGUAUGAGGAUGCAUGGAACAUGUUCUGCUUAAUGCCUCAUACGAUGUUCUUUUCUGUGAUUUCAAUUAUUUUCAUAUUGCCUUUAUUACUGAGUAAUAAUAUCAGAUUUUUAGGGUCAGUAUGCAUAAGAGAGAAAAUCAAUGAGCUUGAAACAUUUUCUAGUUAAGUUUUCAUGAGAGUUCGACCUUGAUUGAAUUUAUUGAUGGCGCUUUACGAUCACAAUCAUCAGGUGAAAGGAAACCAUAGUAAUAGUAUAUGCCUCACUACUUCUACUUGAUCAGGAUACAGAAGUCUUUCACAAUUGGCCAUGGUGCCUGUUGGUUUAUAUAGCAAUUGUGUGCUUGGUGAAAGGACGCUACAGAUCUUAUUUUACAGAGUCUGCUCUUAAUUACGAUUAUGGGGUCAUAUAGGAUCUUGUGCUGAUGUUGCUAAUAAAUUUUUUUAACUUAGGGCAGUUAGCAUACAUUCAUUGCCUUGCGCAGGAAGAGAUGGGUAGUAGUGACACUAUCCACUAGGCCAGUUCCCAGUCAGAUUGAGAUUUACUAUCCAGAUAUAUCAAGGUGCCUGUCAAUUACAGAGGUGCUCAUAAUAAGGCUGCUAGAGCUAGACAUCACAUUAUGAUAAAUGUAUUAUGGAUGACUGUAAUAGAAGGUACUUACUGUAAAAAGUUUCGGCAAGGAUAGCUUCAGGGGAGAGUUAUAUUAUUGAUGAAAACCUUGUGCACCAAAAUGUUUUCCAGUUCUCUAGUUAAAUUUGUGCCA